GUGGAGACAAACCUAGCUCUCAACUGAAAUGGACAGAGCUCAACCUCACCCAACGGACAUCGUCAUGUCCGAUGCGGUGCAUCCCGAACCUCAACCCCAACCCCACCCACCCACCCAUGGGUAUGGACAGCAUCCUAGCCACCCUCAGCCACGGCGGCAGAUUCAUCCAGUACAACAUCCUCGACAACAUCUUCGAGGUAAUCGCCAAGUACAAGCCCCCUAUCAUGCCCAUCGGCAAGGGAGCUUACGGCAUCGUCUGCUCCGCUUUGAAUUCGGAAAAUCAAGAAGAUAGCAAAUGCUUUUGAUAACAAGAUCGAUGCCAAGAGGACUCUCCGUGAGAUCAAGCUGCUUCGUCACAUGGACCACGAAAACGUUGUUGCAAUUAGGGAUAUCAUACCACCCCCUCAAAAGGAGGUCUUUAAUGAUGUCUACAUUACUUAUGAGCUAAUGGACACUGACCUCCAUCAGAUUAUUCGUUCCAAUCAAACCUUUCCAGAGGAGCACUGUCAGGUUCCAUUUCAUUUCAUUUUAUUAUUAUUGUAUAAUCUUUCUAUUUUAUGAAUAUCAAGUUUACUAGCUCGCCAAUUUCAUUGAUUUUGUUUUGAUGUUACUGUUACUGGUCAUGAAAAUUGACUCAAAUUCUGCCCAUCAAUAAUGACUAUGACCCAGUGGAAUUCUUUCA